CUCACUUCCAUUGUCAGAUGUUGAAGAAAUCCAGUGUAAUACCAGUUGAAGAAGUGGAAGUAAAUAUGAAGGAAUCUUUUCAACAUCUUAGCAGUUCUCAAAAUAAAAUAAAAGUUCUCAAUUAUCUGAAAGGAAACUUUGUAUGUUUGUUAAAGCAAGCCUUUGAACUUUUAGCAUCCAGGCUAAAAGAAAAGAACAAUCUGUAUAUAGCCAGACAUUA